CCUUCUAGCUGGCAAACACUACCCUUUGUUCUGGCUGAUUUUCAAUAGAAGUAAAAGCACGGUUGAUGUAAGGAGACCUAAGUCAGAACAACUACAGCUAACUAAGGACCAGUCAUCCUUUACCAGGACAGUAUUUUAUUAACCACACAAUCACCUACCUUACAUAAUUACUGGCUUUAUGAAUUACUUUAAGUUAGCCCAUUCAAAAAGAAAAAAUCC